rnacentral:rRNA from 1 species
ACUGAUGACAUAUGCCAGAAGGCAAGAUCUCAAAUGUUCUUGAUAAGCAGGGUUGAGCCUGGUUAGUACUUGGAUGGGAGACCACCUAGGAGCACCAGGUGCUGUAGGUG